ACACAGAUUACUAGCGCCUCUGGAAGUAGGGCAAGCUCGUUUAUUUCCUCUCCAACAUAGCCUCGGGCCAUCAGAGCGUCUCAUGUCAGGGUCCCUGCCGAGCAAGCUGCAGAAUGAAAACACUGCGAAUAAGAAAGGUCACUGCAUCCGCUCUGCACAUUUACUUCUCACCUGAAAUCUCUGCUUCACUAGCAACGACCUGGCUCAGGCUGUGAACACUGCCUGAGUCGAUGUUCCAGCAGGAGGGAGAAGAAAUCUAUGACUACUGCGCAUAUGCGUGUGUACUUACAGAUUAUUGCCUCAGGUCCGUGGUCCAGCGUUGUGACAAGCUGUCCAUCUGAGGUUCAUGCUUCCUUCAAUUCAAUGCUGCAAGGUACAAGCUGACUGAAAGAAGACCAGCAAUUGGUUGAUUAAUACCAUUGAAGAGGCGUGUCUUCUCCUCCCACAAUAUUAAGGAGCUAUUGUGCAGGUUAUCCUAAUGUUUGACUAGCCCUUCCUGUGUAUCUAAGGCUGAAUCCAACAGCCACUUUUGCCUCACCAGCUAUUCACUGUUUAUAACCCCAGCACUUGAAGUACCAGAGGGUUCAGAGGGAGUCAGUUAUGAAUCAAGGAGAAAAGCAUGGUUGGAAUGAAAAGCUCAGCGGCUGAUGGUCUCCGUUCCUUCGAAAGCCAAGUUGAGGAUGCUGAAAUCCCCUUAUUGUCUUUGGUACCUCAGUGUUCCUAUUUGUGAAAGGCUGAUAAAGAUGCCAGGGAUUCUGGAAAAAGAAAUGGAAUGCAUAUCGACUGGCCACCCAGUAAAACAGAUUUCAGAUGCAAAUAGAAACAAAAAGCUGGGGGAAGUAUGAAGAGUUUUAAGGAUAAAAGAAGAAAAAAAACCUGAAAAGAUAAUCCUUUUAAGAAGCUGAUUUUUUCUUAGUCAUUCCCAAAGUAAGAGGGCCAGGGUAAUACUGCCAAUGCUUAACUCCAAAAUAGAUAAAAGGUUAAAAAAAAAAAAAGGCUGCUCUAUUGAGGAAAAAAGUCCUGAAAUAACCUAUUACUGGUGUUCAGAAGUCAACUUGUCCAUGAAGACAAGGUCAUCAUUCAUCUUUAUAAAAAGAGACACUGAACAAAGACAAAUAAGUUAAAGCAUUUACUUUUACAUAACACCAGGACAGGUAAAAAAAAAAAAAAAAUAGCUAUAAUUCACAGGCCUUGAGCAUGACAGAGAAAUUUAAAGCUUUAGGAGACGUCCUAUGAAAUGCUACACUUCUGGUUUCAACAAAUGCUUGGAGACAUCAUGAAAGUCCUUUUCAUAUGGACAGAAAAUUUUGUUCACCAUUUCUUUUAAAUUCUUUAAAAACCUUUCUUUCUUUCUUUCUUUCUUUUUUUCAAAAUCCCCUUCAGAUUACUCUGUGUCUUGACCUAAAAUCAGAGUCAAAUGAUUCACAGCUUUAGGAGCUUACAUCUAAUUUUACUACCUUUGGCCUUAGUAUUUAUCAACUUCAACACAGAACAAUGCAUUACUCUAACAAUAGUAGACCUUACUGAUUCUGUGAGCUCUCCAUUUGGCUUUUGAAUAUAAUAGCCUUUGUAUGGUUCUUUUAAAUUGACCUAUACAUACACAGAGGCACAAAUUCCUCCAAAAUGAAUAAUAGAAAGAAAAAUUAAUGCAUUCAUGCAAUGAAAACUUGACAUAAAUAUAUCCCUAAUUAUGGUGGUAAAUGCAUAGGAGACUAGGGCCAUAGAUUAACCUGUAGUAAGAGUAAGAUUUCUGCAGAAUCUCCUGUUUAUCAAAAAAAUUAUGGAAAUUUGAAUUGUACAUCAUGCUAUAUACAAGUUUCUUUUCAUAUUAUAAUGAUAUUUUCCUCCCAAAUUUCCUAGUUGGAUGGCAUCCAUCACCAUAGCAAAACAGAAAGAAAGCCCACAAGACUUUUGAUUAAAUCUUCUGGCUAUUUUCAGGCCAAGUGUUUUGUUUUCUCUUUUGAAUUAUUCAAAUCUCCCUGCCCAGUCAUGCCCUACACUUUGCAAAAGUGUAAUACUAAGAAAUCUUAUAAUUUUUUAUUACUUGCAGAUUUUUCUGGGGCAGGAAUAUCAUUUAAAAUGUUCCCUAAGGAGAAACCAAGUGAGAGGGGAAUUUUCCUCCGAAUUUUCAAUUGUAGUUUAUAGUGAAUGGGAAAAUCACUUCUCACUUAGAUCUACAUGGCUAUUUGUGAGCAGAAAAUAGUUUUAAUUAUUCUGCCUAUGCAACCAAGAUUUUCUGGGACAAUCCCAAUUUCUUUCUUUUCAAUAAAUGUGAAUUUCCAUUACACUUGCAGGAAAUUGUCCAACACACACACUCACAUAGGUGAUUAAAGCCCAUUGUAGAAAGCUGUUCUCUGCACCCAUGUGGAUAUUGGUAAACAACUGGAAACAAGUUAAAUGCUCUUCAGCAGGGGGAAUAGUUUAAGAAAUUUCUGUACAUGCAGGUACUAUAACACCAAGCAGAAUCAGGUAGAUCUCCAUGUACUAGUCUGGGAAAAUAGUCAAGAUACAUUGUUUGUUGAAAAAUAUCAAGUUAUAGAACAGAUGUUUAGUAUACUCCCAUUUGUCUCACACUUUGAAAAAUUCUACCAUAUAUAUUUGUAAAGGGUUAGAAAAUCUCUGGCAGGACAGAUCAGAAACAAACCCCCAAAUCACCUCUGUUGUUGGGAGGCAGGUUUAGGGAUAAAUGGAGGUUUACUUGUAAGUCGUAUUUCCACAUCAUCUCUGUGAACUAAACCCUCCCUGAUUCCUCCCAAUUCUCACUGCUUCCCACUAUGUUGGAGAUCCUGUCAUGUCAUAACUUACACAGCAGUGGCCACAAGAUGUGGGUUUGCAUGAGACUGGCAUGAGAUGGUUGGAAAAAUAAAGACGGUGGGAGUUUCCACCAUGGUACAGUGGGCUAAGGAUCACUGUGGCUGUGUGGGUUCUAUCCCCCCACCUGGUGCAGUAGGUUAAAUGAUCUGGCAUUGCUGCAACUGCAGCGUAAGUCAUAGCUGGGGCAUGGCCUGGGAACUUCCAUAUGCUGUGGGUGUAGCAAAAAAAAGAAAGAAAAGAAAAGAAGGUGGAGGCCACAGAACUUAAUUAGCUACGAGGUUGACUGUUGAGGGCUACAGCUAUGGGUCAGGGGUGGUGUCUAAGAGAGAUGAGGUAUUCUCAACAAUGUCAAGAAAAGUCCUAAUCAGGAGUUCCUGUCGUGACUCAGCCAUUAACGAAUCUGACUAGCAUCCAUGAGGAUGCAGGUUCAAUCCCUGGCCUUGCUCAGUGGGUUAAGGAUCCGGUGUUGCCGUGAGCUGUGGCGUAGGUCGCAGACGCUGCUCAGAUCCUGUGUUGCUGUGGUUGUGGUGUAGGCCGGCAGCUUUAGCUCCAAUUUGACCCCUAGCCUGGGGAACCUCCAUGUGCCAUGGAUGCGGCCCUAAAGAGCAAAAAAAAAAAAA
rnacentral:lncRNA from 1 species